rnacentral:lncRNA from 1 species
UUGGAGAAAUUUUUCACUCAUUUUUUAUAUAUUUUUUAGUGGGAGAGGUUUAGUCUACAGUUUUUAUUUUUAGUCACCAAACUGUAGCCAACUCUUGGGUCAUUUUCUCUGAAAAACAUUUGGAGAUCAUGACAGCGUUUGGAUUAAAACAUUUCUGUUACUUUGCAUGCAAACUAGUUUACUGUGUUCACAGAGUGGCCAGUCAUGGGACCAUAAGCAACACCUGCUCUUUGAGUGUCUUUCAUACCGUUACCAUCAGCACCAGAAACUCCAGGUGCCCCAAGCUUAAAGUAAAAAUCCUAAAGUACGUUGGCUCCUCCCAUGCAAUGUGCUGGGUCCAAACCAUGCUGUUAAAU